rnacentral:rRNA from 1 species
UGCAGAGGGUGCAAGCGUUGUUCGGAAUUAUUGGGCGUAAAGCGCGUGUAGGCGGCUUUGCAAGUCGGGUGUGAAAUCCCUCAGCUUAACUGAGGAAGUGCGCCCGAAACUGCCGAGCUUGAGUACCGGAGAGGGUGGCGGAAUUCCCCAAGUAGAGGUGAAAUUCGUAGAUAUGGGGAGGAACACCGGUGGCGAAGGCGGCCACCUGGACGGAUACUGACGCUGAGACGCGAAAGCGUGGGGAGCAAACAGG